rnacentral:rRNA from 1 species
ACGGCUCAGUAACACGUGGACAACCUACCCUCAGCACGGGGAUAAACCCGGGAAACUGGGUAUAAUACCCGAUAGUUCUGGGAAGCUGGAAUGCUCCCAUGACGAAAGCUCCGGCGACUGAGGAUGGGUCUGCGGCCUAUCAGGUAGUAGUGGGUGUAAUGUACCUACUAGCCUACGACGGGUACGGGUCGUGAGAGCGAGAGCCCGGAGAUGGAUUCUGAGACACGAAUCCAGGCCCUACGGGGUGCAGCAGGCGCGAAAACUUUACAAUGCUGGCAACAGCGAUAAGGGGACCUCGAGUGCCAGGAUACAAUCUUGGCUGUCGCGAUGCCUAAAAAGCAUUGCAUAGCAAGGGCCGGGCAAGACCGGUGCCAGCCGCCGCGGUAACACCGGCGGCUCGAGUGGUAACCGCUAUUAUUGGGUCUAAAGGGUCUGUAGCCGGCCGGAUAAGUCUCUUGGGAAAUCCAGCUGCUCAACAGUUGGGCUUUCAGGAGAUACUGUUCGGCUCGAGGCCGGGAGAGGUGAGAGGUACUUCAGGGGUAGGGGUGAAAUCUUGUAAUCCUUGAAGGACCACCAGUGGCGAAGGCGUCUCACCAGAACGGACCUGACGGCAAGGGACGAAAGCUAGGGGCACGAACCGGAUUAGAUACCCGGGUAGUCCUAGCCGUAAACGAUACUCGCUAGGUGUCAGCCACGGUGCGACCGUGGUUGGUGCCGUAGGGAAGCCGUGAAGCGAGCCACCUGGGAAGUACGGCCGCAAGGCUGAAACUUAAAGGAAUUGGCGGGGGAG